CUGGGGUGGUGCAGGAGACCCCCCGGGGGCCAGGCCGCGAGGGGCUGCGAGGACUGCUGGUCCCCAAACGGGCAGAGACCCGAGGACCGGGGCCGGCGGGGACAGCAGACGGUGGGGUUCAGGGAAUUGACGCACAGCGCCGGGGUUCCCGAGGCUCCCCAGGCCGGGCCCUUUCCUGAGCUCACACUGGGCGGGGGCCCGGCCUGCCAGCCUCGGGGCCGCGUGUGCCCGAGCCCCGGAGCCUGCGCCCUGGUGGCGCGUCGGAGCCCACGCGAGCAUCAGCACUGCUGCAGCCGCCCGUGCGAGGGCCCGGGCCGUGUUCAGCCCCCGUCGGGUCUCCCUUCCAGCCUCCGCCCCUCGCCCUCCGUCGCCGCCGCCGGGCACCUGUCUGCUACCCUCUAGUGGCCAGAAGCCUGGCUCCCUGGAGGAAAGGGGACUCUCCCACACCGGGUACGACACCGACACGGACACCGACACCGACACCGGGUAGUCCUGGCCGCCGGGGGGCCUCCCGGGGCCUGGGGUCCCCUCUAAGCGCGCAGACCCCGCCGGAGACCCUGACACGGCAGCACGGACGGGGAGGAGGCGGCCCCAGGCCUGCGUUCAGGCGGCCGCCCAGCUACGCGGUUCCGGGGCCUCCCCACGGGUAAAAACACGGUUGUUCACGCUUAAUAGCCCCUAAGGUCUCCUCCAGACUAGUUCUCUGCAUCUGGGAUGUGGGAGCUGGGUACCCCUCCCACGCCCCCCGUUAGCGCCGGGGCGGCCAAGCUUAGGCUCGGUGGGCCAGGUAGCCGCUCACACAGGGUGGCUCCCCUCCAGAGCCGACCCCUCCCUUGUCCCUAGCGCCAGGUGACUAACAAGGCCACCUCCUGGGACCCUCUCCUCUUAGUCCCCACAACUGCUGGGCCCCCAGGACGGGGCUUGGGCUCCAGGGCCCCCUCCCCUUGGCCACGGGUGGCGGGAGAGCCCGGGGGCUGGCGGUAGGAUUUUCCCCAGCCCUUCAGGGGGCCUCCCCCAGGAGCCCGAGGCGGGCACACCCUCCACCCAGUCACUCACCCUGGAAUGUGGGCGAACCGGCUCCUAGCCCCAGGACGGCUCACAUGCUCCCCUGCCCUGGGGGACACCUGGCCAAGGCUCCCGAGGGUGGGAUGAGAAGGAUGUUUGCCUUCACGGGGCUUCACAUUGGGGACGGGCCGAGAUAAGGAAGCCCUAUAGGCCGGCCCUUAUCUCCCGGUGUUGAUGCCCCCGCAGCCGGCAGCGCGGUGGUGUUAUGGGUAAGUGGGAAGGACUCCAGCUCGAGGUCAGGGCCUGGGAGGUGUUGUGGGGAGGAGCUGCAGUAGGACGGGGGCGCAGCCCCCCACGCUCUCCCCGGGAGGCCUGGUCCUGGGGGUAUGGGGUGGCAAGAGCCCGGCCUCCACCCUCUACGAGGGCAGCCGCGUCCCGCAGGACUAGGGGGGCCGAAGGUGGAGACAGGGCCGGCAACGCAAGGCGGGGUCCCCGUGCUGGGCACCUCGAGGACUCACCACGCUAGUGGGGCCCAGGAGCGGCGGUCACGGCGCCCCAGACACCACGCUGGGCAGUCGGGGAGGCCUGUGGGCGGCACGUGGACGGAAGGGCCUGAAGGAGCCCAGGGCCGAGGACGAGGCCGUCACCCGCCGGCCCACCGCCUCCGUCCCCUAACUCGUGCGAGGAGCCUCCAGGAGCCUGUUUCGGGGGCUGCGCCGCGUGCUCUCUCCCAAGCCCUGCGCGGCGGAGGCGGAGGCCCGAGCCGAUGACCUCCAAAGCCAAGGACACAGCCAAGGCGGAGACUCAAGAAGAGAUAAAUGUCUGGAUCAAACGCAGGCGAGGCCCAGGAAGGAAGAGGCCAGAGGAAAAGACGCUACAAUACACAGGUUUCAAGCAAAGGAAGAGAUGAACAGGUGGUGCCGCACGCAGGGAAUUGGGCUCCUUCAUAGGAAGUGGGAUGGGGCUCCCUUGCACGGCCCCCCACCACCCUGCGGCCCGUCCUUCGUCCUUCCACCUGCGUGUGCGCCACCCCCACCUCCUCCACCUGCGAGCUCCCCCCAGACAGGGAAGUGCUGUCAGCCUCUGAGGCCCCUCCCCUCCCCGCGACCUCACAACAUCUGCUCCGCAGAGGGCACAUGUGGAAGCAAGAAAUUUCACACGUUACCUCCACCUUAGAUACUUGUCACUUAAAAAUGUUUAUUAGAAUAAAGAUUAAACCUA